ensembl:lncRNA ADGRD1-AS1 ADGRD1 antisense RNA 1
AUGGGAAAGAUUUCCCCCUGACGAGGAGGGAGUCUCCCGACCCGUUCUUUCCCUCCUGGACGUGCCAGGGUAAGGCGAGGGUGCUGGGGGCCUGCAGCUGGGCGAGAAAAGGGCCGAGUGCCGAGAGAAUUGUGGCGGUGCCUAUCCAGCCCCUGCUGUCAAACAGAAACAUCUAUGGUCCCGGUAAGGGUGCCACGCCCGGUCCACCAGACACAGACAUCAAAUAGCCUUACCUUGGUGAGAUUCAAGGCUGUCUGCUCCGAGAGGGACUUACUGGCAAACAGCCCAAGCAGAAGAACAUCAGCAAGGGGGACCAAGGAAGAUGUGUCUGCUCACCACGGGGCUUGCUGUGGAUGUCAUGAAGAGGCUUGGCAGCGUUGAAGACAAUAAAGCAUGCUUUCCUGGAAGAAACAAUGCUGGAUUAAGGACUAAAACAUGGUCACUUUUUUCACCACGAGGAAGACCUGUCCUUGUUAAAAAUGUACUGGCUUCAGACACAUGGAAGAGAGUCUGAGAAUGUUUUGAGUAGGAAUGUUGCUGGAGAUAAAUUAUGGGCUAAGAAAUCAGCUGACUGAGUCGACCGUAUAGAUUUUCCCAGGUCACAUUACUUUUCCAUUUGUAUUCUCAAUCGCUUUUGAACACCCUUCAUGCAAGUCAGCAUAUCAAAAGAUGAUUUUAUACAAGGAUUACCGAUUUCAAAUAAAUAAAGAACCAAAAGAAAUAGAUUUCAAUUGCAUCCAGACUGGUUGGAGAUAAAAUGAGGAGUGCUACAACUCGCUGGGCCAGCACAGACAGGAGCCCUGGGAGCGCUCUCCUCUGAGAUCGAUGAAGUGAGAAUAGGCCCCAGUAAAGCAGUGGAGAAAACUGUCUUCCUGAGCCCCCUCUAGCCCAAGGAUUCCAGCUAUUCUUUGCACUCAGCCCCCAUGGGGUUAAUGAUGAAUUAUUACAAACAAUGAAGACAUUUAAGGCUGAAGACUAAGCCAUGAUUUGCUGUUCUCUGCCUGUUCACCCCCAACUAUUUCUAAUCCCACUAUUUCCUGAUGAGAACACACACUUAACCAGAUAUUCUACUUCAUUUUUGGAAAAUCUCUUGAAGUUGCUUUGGAUGAGCUGAGGAAAUGACAUCAUCACCCCUUGCUGGCUGCAGGAGUGACUGAGCCCUUGGGUUUGGGUGGGGUUGGGCUGCUGGUGAACGCAGAAGGUGUGGCGCUGCCGAGAGAACUGGACCCCAGAACCGCUCUGUUCUCCAAGUCAGAGUGACAUUCACUCCUCAGGUG